rnacentral:misc_RNA from 1 species
GCCAUGCGGACAACUUGGGCUAUCAAUGUGGAGGCUGGACAAUUACAUGGCAGGGUCUUGGUGGCAAUGACCUCACAUCUGGCACAACAAUUGUCAAUGCAAUAAAAAACACAGUUGAUCCUGCAACCCAAGUUGUAUUCAAUCAGAACCCCGAUGUAAACUUCGUCAAGUCCAAUAAAUUCUCCUAUGCCAUUGUUGUAGUUGGUGAGACCCCAUACGCAGAAACAUUUGGUGACAGCCUAAAUCUGACAGUACCUGAACCUGGCCCAAGUACUAUCACCAAUGUAUGUACAUCCGUCAAAUGCGUUGUAGUUAUCAUAUCUGGCCGCCCUGUUGUGAUCCAGCC